rnacentral:rRNA from 1 species
CCUACGGGUGGCAGCAGUGGGGAAUAUUGCGCAAUGGGCGAAAGCCUGACGCAGCGACGCCGCGUGAGGGAUGAAGGUCUUCGGAUCGUAAACCUCUGUCAGCAGGGAAGAACGGUCACUGUGCUAAUCAGCAGUGAAUUGACGGUACCUGCAAAGGAAGCACCGGCUAACUCCGUGCCAGCAGCCGCGGUAAUACGGAGGGUGCGAGCGUUAAUCGGAAUUACUGGGCGUAAAGGGCGCGUAGGCGGUAUGUCAAGUCAAGGGUGAAAUCCCCGCGCUCAACGUGGGAACUGCCUUUGAAACUGGCAAACUGGAGUGGGGGAGAGGAUAGUGGAAUUCGAGGUGUAGGAGUGAAAUGCGUAGAUAUCUGGAGGAACAUCAGUGGCGAAGGCGACUAUCUGGCACAUAACUGACGCUGAGGAGCGAAAGCGUGGGUAGCAAACAGGAUUAGAUACCCGUGUAGUC